rnacentral:rRNA from 1 species
GUGAGGAAUAUUGGUCAAUGGGCGAGAGCCUGAACCAGCCAAGUCGCGUGAAGGAAGAAGGAUCUAUGGUUCGUAAACUUCUUUUGCAGGGGAAUAAAGUGCGGGACGUGUCCUGUUUUGUAUGUACCCUGAGAAUAAGGAUCGGCUAACUCCGUGCCAGCAGCCGCGGUAAUACGGAGGAUCCGAGCGUUAUCCGGAUUUAUUGGGUUUAAAGGGUGCGUAGGUGGUUUGAUAAGUCAGCGGUGAAAGUUUGCAGCUUAACUGUAAAAAUGCCGUUGAAACUGUCGUGCUUGAGUGUAAAUGAGGUAGGCGGAAUGCGUGGUGUAGCGGUGAAAUGCAUAGAUAUCACGCAGAACUCCGAUUGCGAAGGCAGCUUACUAAGCUACAACUGACACUGAAGCACGAAAGCGUGGGGAUCAAACAGGAUUAGAAACCCGUGUAGUCC